rnacentral:rRNA from 1 species
CACGUAGGGCGCAAGCGUUGUCCGGAAUUAUUGGGCGUAAAGAGCUCGUAGGCGGUCUGUUGCGUCCGCUGUGAAAACCCGGGGCUUAACCCUGGGCUGGCAGUGGAUACGGACAGACUAGAGGUAGGUAGGGGAGAAUGGAAUUCCCGGUGUAGCGGUGAAAUGCGCAGAUAUCGGGAGGAACACCGGUGGCGAAGGCGGUUCCCUGGGCCUUACCUGACGCUGAGGAGCGAAAGCGUGGGGAGCGAACAGG